UGUCCGCUGUCUACAUUGCUGUUGUUGCUAAAGAACUAAUAUCGACGUUGCUGGCACAGCUGGCUUUUCUCUGAUAACUACAGCUGCGCAUUUGUUUUGAUUUCUGGCCGUGCAUCAUCGUUCGUUAUCGCUGUUUUAAAAAUUUGAAUUUUAUUGCAUAAGCAUGGGCACUCGUACCAAAUAUGCUUGCCUGUUAUGCGUUUCACCAAACAAAACGCCUGCAAAGCAGAAUAUCAAGCAGCUGGAAUCAAAAAUCAUGAGCGCCGUGACUGAGGUGCUGAGAGAGGUGGUGAAGGAGUCUGUUGGCGUCAUUAUGAAGCAGCUAGGUGAGGUGACGGUGGAGCUGUCGAAGAUGAAGGCGAAGAUGCUACCAUUUGAGCUCGAAAUAGAAAAGGCCGAGCGUGAUCGCGCGGAAAUAGCAAAACUGCGCGAUGAUAUACACGCACUCAAGGAGGAGGUGGAAAGUAAUAGCGUGGCGACUGAUAUUAUAAUUAGAGUUAUACCACAUGAGCCGGAUGAGAAAGUAGGUGAAGUUUUCAGCAAUCUCUGCCAAGCAAUGCAGCUGAAUUCCCUGUCUAUUAAAGCUGCUUUCCGCGUACGCACCAAAAACGAAAAAAAUUCACCUAUCAUAGUGAAACUAAAUUCCCCCCAUGAUCGCUCUUUGCUGUUUGCCGCCGCUGCCAGGUUUGUCAAAGCCAAAAAAAGAGGCAUCCAGCUAAGUGACAUUGGGCGCGAAGCUAAUGGGAGAAUACAUCUAAAUGAAUCUCUUACUAGAGGUAGUCGUGAGAUUAUGCAGUUUGCAACGUAGCUUAAAAGACAAAAGCUCAUAAAAUCUGCCUUUUCGUUCAAGGGACAAGUGUUUAUUCGUGUGCAGCCCAGUGUAGCUGCGAUUAAGGUGCUCAGCACAGAGGAGAUAGAUGCAAUCAUUGCGGGCAAAUGACUAGCUAUUAAGUUUAUGUGUAACAUGUCUUCAGCCUCCUCCCUUUAUAUUAUUUCUCUUCUUUUAACUAAAUACUUACUCCUUUCUUACCUUAUUCUAUACUCAUCUUCAAUAAUUUCGGCAUUUUCCGUAAUUUUAAUCGUUCCUAGGGUGCGGUAUAUGUUGCUUCGCACUGACAUACAAGAAAAGUGAAAAUCGCUGUGGUUCCAAAGACAACACGUUUAAUACGAUACAGAUAGUGGGCAUACAAAUGCGCGGCUUGAUGCUCUUGGUUUGCAGGCUUCUGCAAAUGGAUGUAAAAUGAUUGCAAGUGCCUUUCGUUUCUGGCCCAACGUUUCUCCAAAUAAUAUUUUCAUCGGCGCCCUUCGCUCAUUUACAACAACUGACUGUUCUCCAUCACCAUAUCUAUGCCAUUGACGGCCAAAUCCACAUCACCUUUAUACGGCGUGUUCGGAAACACUGCUCUUGCUAGUGGUUCGGAUUUCGGAGCAACUUGAACAGCAACAACGGCACCAACAGAACAUUCGGUCUUUGGCAAACCUGUACCUGUACAAACAUUCCCCAAGCCAUACAAAUGCCCACAUUGACGUUGCUGCCAGUGAUUUUGUAUCUGCCAGAUGAGCCGACCGUUGCACCAAUCGUGGCAUUGGCAAAAACACAUUUAUAGAUUUAGGCGUAUAACUGGCGUUUGCCAUUAUACGAUAGUUGACCAUUUAUUUAUUUCUUUUUAACUUGAAUCUAUUUUUAUAAUAAUACAAACCAUUUGUAUUUGUAUUGUAGAAUUUGGUAUAAAUUACAAUACAAUUACAAUUUUCCAACACUGCGGUGGACCAGAAAGAGAAAAUCACUUAAACUUAUUUUAUAUUCUGUUAAAGCCUACAAACCAAAAUAUGUAAAUACAGUAAAGGGAUCCACAAGAUGUUAUAACGCUUAAUAACGUCUUAAAAGCAUACAUAAGUAUAUGUAAUUUCAUGAAUUAAAAACUAAACUUUUAAGCAGCUAUAAUAUUGUAUGAGUAGGAACUGCUUGUAUAUUUUGCAAUUAAAUAUUCCGCACUUCCACGUUCAACGCAAAAAUUUCGUUUAAACUACAAAUGCAUAAAUAUAAAAAUAUACAGUAUAUAAACAAGGGGAAAUGUUAACAGCCUAAUUCUGUGCACUUGAUAAAUUCACCAUCUUGUUUAUUUAUCAAUAUUGACAAUUUAUCAAGUGUUUCGUAUUCUAUGUCAAAAAUAAAAAGCUUUUUUCUUGAUAAAUUGUCAAGAUGUCAAAUGCCUUUGACAAAUUAACAA